rnacentral:rRNA from 1 species
CACCAGCUCCACAAGUGGGGAUCAUAUUUAUUUGGCCUAAAGCGUCCGUAGCUGGUUAUAUAAAUCUCUUGUGAAAUUGUUAGGCUCAACCUAACACCGUGCAGGAGAGACUGUAUGACUAGGGACCGGGAAGGGUCAGGGGUAUGCCGUGGGGAGCGGUAAAAUGCUAUAAUCCUCGGUAGACCACCUGUGGCGAAGGCGCCUGACUAGAACGGGUCCGACAGUGAGGGACGAAAGCCAGGGGAGCAAACCG